rnacentral:rRNA from 1 species
GAGGAAUAUUGGACAAUGGAUGGAAAUCUGAUCCAGCCAUGCCGCGUGCAGGAAGACGGCCCUAUGGGUUGUAAACUGCUUUUGUAUGGGAGCAAUAAGGACUACGUGUAGUUUGAUGAGAGUACCAUACGAAUAGGCAUCGGCUAACUCCGUGCCAGCAGCCGCGGUAAUACGGAGGAUGCGAGCGUUAUCCGGAUUUAUUGGGUUUAAAGGGUGCGUAGGCGGCGAUAUAAGUCAGUGGUGAAAUAUUUCGGCUUAACCGAGAGACUGCCAUUGAUACUGUGUUGCUAGAAUAUGGUUGCUGCGAGUGGAAUGUGUGGUGUAGCGGUGAAAUGCUUAGAUAUCACACAGAAUAUCGAUUGCGAAGGCAGCUCACAAGGCCAUUAUUGACGCUGAGGCACGAAAGUGUGGGGAUCAAACA